UCAAUUAAUUCUGCACGUUUUAAUCUCCACCUUUUUUAUUCCGUCAAGUGUAAACCGACCUAAUAUCGCGAUUCUUUGUCUUCCCCCGUCUCCAUAUUCUUCGGCUUCGCCUAGCUUAUUCCACUCGCCGUCAGGUAGGUUUCUCUCCAAUUAAAUAAGUCUUCUGAAAUUCUUCGACGUUUUGCUGCCUCCGCUCUCCGUCAUCUCCUCCGGAUCCCUUCUCCAAUUAAUUUGGAUGUAUGAAGAUGAAUUCAACGGUCGAAACGUUGCAACCUCCGACCGUUCGGUGGCUCUCUUUUGUUUCUAGAUCUCUACUUCAGCGAACCUGUGAAUUUCGACACCAUUUUGACUUCAAAUUUAG